rnacentral:lncRNA from 1 species
CUUUCUACCAUGAAAAUCUCAGGACAAGAGAGGUCAGCUCCUUGUUUUUCCUCUCCGCGGUAUGGGGUUUCUCAGAGAUUUUUGGUGGUGGCUAAUUGAUCAUGGUGUCCCUAGGAAUGAAACAGCCGGGCAGUCUGCUGGAGUAUUGCUUGAUCUGCAACAUCGAAAAACUCUAGUUCUGGUGGCCAAACCCUGAUUUAAGUUGCCACGAUGGAGAGAAGGACCACUCACCAGGUUUUCUGGCCUAAGCCAAUUCACAGACUCAGAGCCUCUUGAGCAAGGACUCUUCAUUACGGUUUCAAGUGCUGUUUAAAUUAUGAAGACUUAUUCAGUGUAAAUCGUGCAUAUGCCUCCUAAUGUUUUGCGUUUUAAUUACAGAUUCUGGGGGCUGGCCCCGUGGCCGAGUGGUUAAGUUCGUGCGCUCCACUGCAGGCGGCCCAGUGUUUCGUUGGUUCGAAUCCUGGGCGCGGACAUGGCACUGCUCAUCAAACCACGCUGAGGCAGCGUCCCACAUGCCACAACUAGAAGGACCCACAACGAAGAAUAUACAACUAUGUACUGGGGGGCUUUGGGGAGAAAAAGGAAAAAAAUAAAAUCUUUAAAAAAAAAUUCAGAUUCUGUUGUGG